rnacentral:rRNA from 1 species
AGGUCCUGCCUGCCCAGUGAAAUGUUUUUAACGGCCGCGGUAUUCUAACCGUGCAAAGGUAGCGUAAUCACUUGUCUUCUAAAUAAAGACCGGUAUGAAUGGCUAAAUGAGGACAAGCCUGUCUCCUGCAACCCAUCAGUGAAACUGAUCCCCCAGUCCAAAAGCUGGAAUAUAAACAUAAGACGAGAAGACCCUGUGGAGCUUAAAACUAAAUCACUAACAAACCAGAUAACUAGUACAAAGUUUUAAGUUGGGGCGACUUCGGAACAAAACAAGACUUCCGAGCACAGAACCACCCGUUCUAACCAAGGCAAACAAGCCUAAGAAAAACUGACCCAGUCACACUGACCAACGAACCAAGUUACCCCAGGGAUAACAGCGCCAUCUUCUUCAAGAGUCCAUAUCGACAAGAAGGUUUACGACCUCGAUGUUGGAUCAGGGCACCCCAAUGGUGCAACCGCUAU